UCGAACGAACUCUGGUAUUGAUUGGUGCUUGCAUCAUGAUUUACAUUUGAGUGAGUGGCGAACUGGUGAGUAACACGUGGGAAACCUGCCCAGAAGCGGGGGAUAACACCUGGAAACAGAUGCUAAUACCGCAUAACAACUUGGACCGCAUGGUCCGAGUUUGAAAGAUGGCUUCGGCUAUCACUUCUGGAUGGUCCCGCGGCGUAUUAGCUAGAUGGUGAGGUAACGGCUCACCAUGGCAAUGAUACGUAGCCGACCUGAGAGGGUAAUCGGCCACAUUGGGACUGAGACACGGCCCAAACUCCUACGGGAGGCAGCAGUAGGGAAUCUUCCACAAUGGACGAAAGUCUGAUGGAGCAACGCCGCGUGAGUGAAGAAGGGUUUCGGCUCGUAAAACUCUGUUGUUAAAGAAGAACAUAUCUGAGAGUAACUGUUCAGGUAUUGACGGUAUUUAACCAGAAAGCCACGGCUAACUACGUGCCAGCAGCCGCGGUAAUACGUAGGUGGCAAGCGUUGUCCGGAUUUAUUGGGCGUAAAGCGAGCGCAGGCGGUUUUUUAAGUCUGAUGUGAAAGCCUUCGGCUCAACCGAAGAAGUGCAUCGGAAACUGGGAAACUUGAGUGCAGAAGAGGACAGUGGAACUCCAUGUGUAGCGGUGAAAUGCGUAGAUAUAUGGAAGAACACCAGUGGCGAAGGCGGCUGUCUGGUCUGUAACUGACGCUGAGGCUCGAAAGUAUGGGUAGCAAACAGGAUUAGAUACCCUGGUAGUCCAUACCGUAAACGAUGAAUGCUAAGUGUUGGAGGGUUUCCGCCCUUCAGUGCUGCAGCUAACGCAUUAAGCAUUCCGCCUGGGGAGUACGGCCGCAAGGCUGAAACUCAAAGGAAUUGACGGGGGCCCGCACAAGCGGUGGAGCAUGUGGUUUAAUUCGAAGCUACGCGAAGAACCUUACCAGGUCUUGACAUACUAUGCAAAUCUAAGAGAUUAGACGUUCCCUUCGGGGACAUGGAUACAGGUGGUGCAUGGUUGUCGUCAGCUCGUGUCGUGAGAUGUUGGGUUAAGUCCCGCAACGAGCGCAACCCUUAUUAUCAGUUGCCAGCAUUAAGUUGGGCACUCUGGUGAGACUGCCGGUGACAAACCGGAGGAAGGUGGGGAUGACGUCAAAUCAUCAUGCCCCUUAUGACCUGGGCUACACACGUGCUACAAUGGAUGGUACAACGAGUUGCGAACUCGCGAGAGUAAGCUAAUCUCUUAAAGCCAUUCUCAGUUCGGAUUGUAGGCUGCAACUCGCCUA
rnacentral:rRNA from 1 species